CUUUCUUGAAUGAAACUAGUUUCUUUUGACAUUAUUUUUUUUUAAUGUCAAAUUUUUUUAUUGUAAACAAUAAAAAAUUCAAAAUGAAGGAUAUCUUUCAUACAGAUAUUUCCUAAUAACCCAUGACAAAUAGUGAUUUUAAGCUAUCUACUCUUGUUUUAAGAAUUGGAUCUUUCUGCUCACCUUGGGACCAUCGUCACCAUGAAGACAGAGAUUCCAGUCUUGUCCAGCUUCUCUCUUACAUUCUGGUUACACUUAAUAUUUUUUUUCGAUGUACUUCCUGCUCAAAUAUUUUGUGUGAUUCUUCCAAGGCACUUGUGACGAGAAACCUAUCAUUAAGCCUUGGCUGA
rnacentral:lncRNA from 12 species